rnacentral:tRNA from 1 species
GUGCCUGUGGCUCCGGGGUUAAGCACUUAACUUGUAAUCUACAGGUCAUGGGUUCGAAUCCCAUCAUGUACC